GAUGAACGCUAGCGGGAGGCCUAACACAUGCAAGCCGAGCGGUAGAGAUCUUUCGGGAUCUUGAGAGCGGCGUACGGGUGCGGAACACGUGUGCAACCUGCCUUUAUCAGGGGGAUAGCCUUUCGAAAGGAAGAUUAAUACCCCAUAAUAUUUAGAAUGGCAUCAUUUUAAAUUGAAAACUCCGGUGGAUAGAGAUGGGCACGAGCAAGAUUAGAUAGUUGGUAGGGUAACGGCCUACCAAGUCUGCGAUCUUUAGGGGGCCUGAGAGGGUGAUCCCCCACACUGGUACUGAGACACGGACCAGACUCCUACGGGAGGCAGCAGUGAGGAAUAUUGGACAAUGGGUGCGAGCCUGAUCCAGCCAUCCCGCGUGAAGGAUGACGGCCCUAUGGGUUGUAAACUUCUUUUGUAUAGGGAUAAACCUAGACACGUGUAUCUAGCUGAAGGUACUAUACGAAUAAGCACCGGCUAACUCCGUGCCAGCCGCCGCCGUAA
rnacentral:rRNA from 1 species